rnacentral:tRNA from 1 species
GGGGAUGUGGCUUAGUGGUAGAGCACUUGCCUAGCAUGCAUGAGACCCUAGGUUUGAUCCCUAGCACCACCCCCA